rnacentral:lncRNA from 1 species
CCCUCACUUAUUGCAAUCCCCCUUGGAGAAAGAACCCCAAAACUCAAUUCCAGCCUUUCCUUCAUUAUAUGAAACCUUGUGGUACAAUGUCAGAGAGAUCCAUACAGUUAAACAUAAGUUAUUGUCCCGAAACUUCAGAAAUGCUUCUUUUUGGCCCUUUAUUCCUAGACUGUUUGCCCCAUAACCCUGAAAAUAUAUCCUAACUUUUACUUAAUGGAAUGAACAUUGUGGUACAAUUUCAAAGUAAUUGCAACUUAUUUCCUGAAACUAGAUAAAUGUAUGUUUUGGGCCCCUAAUUCCUAAACUGAUGGGACCAUAACCCCCAAAAUCAAUCCCAACCUUCCUUUUGUGGUUA